AAAAUGCGAAAAACAAAUCUAUGCUCCUCAAGGCCAGCACAAAAGUGAGUUUGCAGACGUUUAUCGUGAAGACAUUAUUUGUUUUUGUCUCAUUCAGCGCUUUGUCGAUAUUCUUAAUGGACAGAUCAGGUCAAGGGAAAUGAAACAGCCACAGGUACGUGGACUUCACAAGGCUCGACGCUGGAGACUACUGAGGUCACAAACAUGAUGACAACACCAGGCACUGCUACGGAAACUACAACUUCAACUUCCGUUUUUCCGCAAGUAACUACCACAGCCACUACACAAAGCACAGCGCCAACCACUAGACAGUUGACGAUGAACUCAGUCACCACAUACGUCACACAAACGUCAACUUCAACCAAACAACGGUAGCUGGCACUUCAACAGUCGCAACUACCACCACCGCCGCCAGCACCACCAUCACCACCACCACCACCACCAAGAUGGAGUGCCCGGUCCUAGUUAUCGCCAACGGAAGUGUGACGUGGGCAGACCUGUCGCAGCGGCAAGGCAGCAUCGUGUGCAAUGACGACUACAUGCUGUCUACAGAUGAUGUCAGCGUGCUGUGUCUGUCUAACCUCACCUGGCACGUGGGGGGCGAGUGCAGGCUGAGGAUCGUGAGAACGUGACGCUGAAUGCCUACUACCCGAUACCCAGAGCAGUUGCCACAGGCUGGUCCACCUGCCUUAGAGGGACACUAUUUUAUGUGGGGACCGACUCACGGGUAUCUGUGAAACUGGCUGAAGAUAACACAUCAAUUAAUCUGCUGCUGAUGGAUUUCCGUUUCAAUUACUCGAGCAUCACCCGCCAGCUUGCUUAUAAUACAAAAAAUAACAACUCAUUGGACGCCACCAAGUUCAUCGGCUGGACACCUUUCCUUGCUGUAGGCCAGAACUUUACUUUGAAGCUGACAAUCAAGACUACUACAAACCUAGACAUUUUUGUAGACGGAACUUUCAGGACUGCCAUCACUUACGGCCGGAAUCUUCUGAACACUCUGUACGUCUCUGCUGCGCAGACAGUCACCAUGGACACAAUAGAUCUCUGGUGCUGACCAACGGAAGCACGAGGACAUCAAGAGUAUAAAAGCUGAGACAUCUGGACGGCAAUGCUUCACACAAGGAGCACAUUAGCUUAUGAGGUAUCGUAAAGCCACGCAGAAGCAUCGCACGUGAUGAGGCUUCACACAGCCAAAGACAAGUCACAUUAUGAGGCAUCCCAAUCACAUCAUCAGGUAUUACGCAGACAAAGAGAAGUAUCUAUCACACACCGUGAGGUAAUAUACAACCGACAAAGGCGUCGUAUGUGAUGUCAGCACACAGGUAGGUCAAGACAUUAUGUGCCACGAUGAAUCACACCACCGAAAUUUCUUGAAAAAUCAACUUUGUUGCCUUAUUUCUGGACAGAAGUGAGAGGAGUUUCUUUGGUCUAUAUUUAUUUCUUUAUUUUAUUUAAAUAUGUUCCUCAACUACAUGGAUAUAAGAGUGUUGUAGAAUCAGUUUGUCACAAACCAUGCUUAUUUUCGUUUAAUAUUUGUCAUGUAACACUUACAUAUCGUAUUAGAGUUGCUUUAGAAACUGCUAGAGACAAUCCACGCCUUGGACAAAUACGUUGAUUUCUUCCUUGUUUUCAUUUUAUUGUUCAGUAAAGAUGAUGUGUACGUCUUUUAAAAAUGGCUUUAUAAAGUAAAAAUGUGUCAUCGUUCAUUUGUUUUUCUGCUUUAAAUAGUGACAGCGAGAGGUAUAGUAGAUGAUGAUGAGGAGGAGGAGGAGGACGAGGAGGAGGAGAAUGGGUUUAAAUAGCACAUUUACUUGCCUGGCAAUGAGCUCAAUGGGCUUGAACACAAGAUCAACACGAAAAAGAAACACAGACGCGCAGAUUUCAAAGAAAGGUUGAGAGGGAGGGAAGUUUAGGAGCAUCAGCCACAGGUAUUCACGAAUGAGGUCAGUCUAGGGCAGGGGUGGGCAAUUAAUUUUCCCAAGGGGCCGCAUGAGAAAUUGGGAUGGUUUUAGAGGGCCGAACUAAUAUAGUUAACUCAGUUUUACCCAAUACUGUAUAUAUAGUACAUAUACUAGCGGGCGGGCCGGUCUAGGGGGACAGCGUUUACAGUCCUCACUGUGCUCAAAAGAAUCGCUAUUAUCGCUUUGUUUAGACAACGCACUCGGCUACGCACGUGUCCCCCUCGUUCACUGAGUGGACAACACUUUGAGAGUUUUCUCCAAAAUAACAAUGCACUCGAGGCUGACACGGUGUUCAAGUACU